CAACACCGCUAUUGAAACCCCCGCCCAAAUCCAUUCCCCAAAUGCUCCGAACCGGGGCUGGGGCUGCGCCUCCACCAACGCUUCUCCCUCUCCCUCCAAAACCCCGGCAUCUCUCCAAAGCUUCGGCCUUUCUCCCCUCUCCCCACCCCAUCUCCAAGCGCAAGAACCACCUCCGCCGCAAAAUUCUCAUUCCCCUUCAUUCACCUCCUCCUGUCCAACCCCCAACCCCCAGCCUCAUUGUCGUCCACGAAGAAGAGGAGCAGGUAUCGUUCACUCAUGAUUCUCCUCGAGAGACUGUUGGUACUGAUCCUUUCCCUCCUCUAUCCGAUGAACUGUCACCUGGUUCGAUUUUCGGGAUUGUCCUCCGUUUUAUGGUGAUUUUCGCGGUGCAGACUGUUGUCGCCGUCUUGUUUCUAGGAGGUUGGGAUGGUGUGGAAAAGGGAAGUGAUGGAGACCGAGGUUUGGGUGUUGAGGCUAAAGGGUGUGAUGGAGGUCUUCAGAAAGGGGAAGAGGUGGCUCCAGAGGUGGUAGAGUUUGAAAAGAAGGUCUUGGAGAUCAGGAUGAUGGCCAGGGUCGCGAGGGAGGAUGAAAAAAAGGAGUUUGAUGAUGGGAAUGGAGGUGAGAAUCAGGUGAGUGGUGGAUUGAGUGAGUUGAAGAGGAGAAAUCUCAUGGUUGUUGCUGAUGAGAAAGCUAGUGGGAAGAGGAGGAAUGGGGAUAAAAACUCGGGAUUGAAGGGUCGGAGGAGAAGUGGGGUUCUGGGGUCUAAUGCGAAAGGUGUUCGGGAUUCACCGCAAGGGUUUAAUGGAAUGAAGAGGAAAGAUAACCACGUUGAUCAUAUGCAAGCUAAUAUCCCGAAAGAUGUUUUGAAAUCAGAAAAGAGGCCUUUACCACUGAAACCUCAAUCCUUGAAGGCGAGGCAAAUUUCUUCUACAGAAGCAAGGAGAAUCAGUGGCAAUUCUAUGCGUAAUUUACAAGUUAAAGAAUUUGAAGGCAAGCCAACUGAGAAGAAAUAUAUCCAGAAUGAUGAUGAAACCAGACCAUGGUGGAUGAAACUUCCAUAUGUUUUGGCAAUUUUUCUUCGAAGAGGUAACGAUCAUGACAGCCCUAAGGGUCUAUACUCCUUGAAGAAAUUCCUUCCAGAUGAUGGGGAUUCUCCAUCUUAUACAAUCGCUUUUCAAGAUCAACGUGAUGCAACAAACUUUUGCUAUCUGUUGGAGUCCUUUUUUGAAGAUUUGCCUGGUUUCAGUGCUGAUGUAGUACCGUUGACAAUUCAAGAACUUGGGGACACACUGAAGCCAGAUGACUUAAACCUUAUUGUUGUAAGGAAGGGACAGCUUCGGAUUUAUGCUGGUCAACCACUUGCUGAAGUUGAAUCAGCAUUGCGCAUUCUGUUAGACUAGAUUUUAGAAAAGGAUGUUGGAUCGACAAACGUAGAAAAAAAGACAAAGGAGGAUCACAGUAUCAUGCUGUCAGCAAUGUAGUAUCAAACUGACCAAAAUGAGCUGCAAAAGACACAGAGCUUGUUGAACAGUUGGAUCAGAUCUGCUCAGCCAAGAGCUGUGUCUUUUCCAAACUCAACAUCAUGUGCAUUUGCUCAUGUCUUCGGGAUGUUUACAUACCAUCCGUUACGAAGUCACCACUUGUGUUUGAUUGCAGAAUUCUAUCAUCCUUUAGGCCAACCUGCUGCCAGAAAAUCUAUUGCCGUCUUAUAAUUGUCGUCCCGGGUCCAUUUUGGUGACUCGGCCGACGUUUCAAACCAAGCAUAAAGAGAUAUGUGGAACAGAAAUUUCUUUGUUCCCUGCAUCAGAAGGCCUUACAUUAAUUCUGACCCCAGCAUAACAAAUACUUCCUUUUCUGCAUCAAUCUGAUUGAAUAUUUUUUUUUCCUGUUUUAAACUUCAUGUGCGCUAUGAUUAGCAAUCACUAAUAAAUUACACCUGAUUUUGUUGUACUUUUCUUGGUAUUCAAUACCAAUUUCUUGUACUCUCAA